rnacentral:rRNA from 1 species
UACGUAGGGUGCAAGCGUUGUCCGGAAUUAUUGGGCGUAAAGAGCUCGUAGGCGGUCUGUCGCGUCGGCUGUGAAAACCCGGGGCUCAACCCCGGGCCUGCAGUCGAUACGGGCAGACUAGAGUGCGGUAGGGGAGACUGGAAUUCCUGGUGUAGCGGUGAAAUGCGCAGAUAUCAGGAGGAACACCAGCGGCGAAGGCGGCGCUCUGGGCCGGUACUGACACUGAGGAGCGAAAGCGUGGGUAGCAAACAGG